GCGCUCUCGGAGGGGCCUGCGGCGGAUUAGCUUGUUGGUGGGGUAACGGCCUACCAAGGCGACGAUCCGUAACUGGUCUGAGAGGAUGACCAGUCACACUGGGACUGAGACACGGCCCAG
rnacentral:rRNA from 1 species